rnacentral:rRNA from 1 species
GAACGCUGGCGGCAUGCCUAACACAUGCAAGUCGAACGGUAACAGGCCGCUGGGAUCCCUUCGGGGUGACCUUGGCGCUGACGAGUGGCGACGGGUGAGUAAUGCGUAGGAAUUUGCCUCAAAGUGGGGGACAGCCCGAAGAAAUUCGGAUUAAUACCGCAUGUGCUCUACGGAGGAAAGCGGGCCUCUACUUGUAAGCUCGCGCUUUGAGAUAAGCCUACGUCGGAUUAGCUUGUUGGUGGGGUAAAGGCCUACCAAGGCGACGAUCCGUAGCUGGUCUGAGAGGAUGAUCAGCCACACUGGGACUGAGACACGGCCCAGACUCCUACGGGAGGCAGCAGUGGGGAAUAUUGGACAAUGGGCGCAAGCCUGAUCCAGCAAUGCCGCGUGUGUGAAGAAGGCCUGCGGGUUGUAAAGCACUUUUAUCAGGAAAGAAAAUCUCGGGGUUAAUAGCCCCGGGCCUUGACGGUACCUGAAGAAUAAGCACCGGCUAACUCCGUG